UACGUAGGGUGAGCGUUAAUCGGAAUUACUGGGCGUAAAGCGUGCGUAGACGGCUUGUUAAGUCUGCUGUGAAAGCCCUGGGCUCAACCUGGGAACUGCAGUGGAUACUGGCAAGCUAGAGUGCGGUAGAGGAUGGUGGAAUUCCCGGUGUAGCGGUGAAAUGCGUAGAGAUCGGGAGGAACAUCAGUGGCGAAGGCGGCCAUCUGGACCAGCACUGACGUUGAGGCACGAAAGCGUGGGGAGCAAACAGG
rnacentral:rRNA from 1 species